AUUUUCAAUUGCUAAGUGCAGCUAUACAUAGAUAUAUUGUUUUAUCUUAUCCGAUCAUGAAAUACUUUGCUCCUGAAUGGUCUGAAAUUUCAGAAACUUUAUCAUUACAGAUAAAAAAUAUUUAAACGCUGUACAAGUUACCUGUAGGUAACCACGUGAUUAGCACACCGGUUAUCUAUGUAAAUUUUUAUGACAUGAAAUGUAAACAUCGUACUAGACGUAAUUGUUGCCCUGCAGAAUGAAAAAGAGAAAAGGGGAAGAAAAAGAACAAAAUGUCAACCUCCUGUGAAAGACAAACCAUAAAGAAUUGAGGUAGAGAACUAAAGAUUGACGCUGCAUCAUGAAUCCUUCCUGACAAAAAUGCGAGGGACUGAUAUAUUUUUAUUAGUUCUUGGAGUGGGACUUUUUCUGUUGAUUGCAGGACUGUGCUUGAGAAGUUGCAAUAAACAGAAGUGCAAGGAUUUUUGUUCAAUAUGGUGUGUGUGUGUUUUGUCAUUUCGAAAUUGUGCGUGGUGCCGACAAAGAAUCUCAUCCUUCUCACGUAGAUCAGGUGAUGCGGACACUCAGUCACGUGGACAAGGCAUCAGUACGGUUGGAGAAGAACAUCCUGGUUUAUACAAUGUUAGUUAUGAGCCUCCGUCCUAUGAAUCGGUGAUAGCCGAAGACAAGGACCCAGAAUUGCCAAGUUAUGAAGAAGCGCUUUCACAUGUUAAUAAUGUUAACGAUUCUUAAUGUGAGUGGACCUGUCAUCAGUUAUUUUGCUGUCUCAAAUGUGUAUAUAAUACAAGGAUUUAAAACUAAUAUUUGACGUUUAUAAGGAUGUUGACAAGUCACAAUGUAUUUUAUUAUUGUCAUCAUCGUUUGACAGUCCAAAUCAUUUCUUACAUGUUCUUUAUAGAUUUUUUGCGUUAAGUUCGUCAGAUUUGUGUAACAUAUGAUUGAAAAUAUUCAUGAUUUAAGCAUUAGUUUUCAAAGUAUCUCUGAGUGGCCAUUCAGUCAGUAUUGGAAAAUGACAAAACAAUAGUGAAAUUGCAGUAUUUACAAAUUAAGUAACAAAGUGUAGAUUAAUGAUAGAAAUGACAUCAUUAUGCUUAAAGAAAAUAAUUUUUCAAUAAUGUGGUUCCAAGCACUAAAUCGGUGCCUGUACAUGGCUUACGAAAAGUUUGCCAUGUGGGUUAUCUCAAUGAUUACAUAAUUGAAGGUUAACAAUAAAGUGCUUCAGAAACAC